UGCCUACGGGGGGCUGCAGUGAGGAAUAUUGGGCAAUGCCCGGAAGGGUGACCCAGCAACGCCGCGUGGAGGAUGAAUGCCGUAAGGUUGUAAACUCCUGUGAGAAGGGACGAAAAAGUGGAUUUAAUCCAAAUUGACUGUACCUUCAGAGGAAACCCCGGCUAACUACGUGCCAGCAGCCGCGGUAAUACGUAGGGGGUUAGCGUUGUCCGGAUUUACUGGGUGUAAAGGGCGCGUAGGCGGGUUUGUUAGUCAGAGGUGAAAUCUCCCGGCUUAACCGGGAAACUGCCUUUGAUACUACAAAUCUUGAGUUCAGAAGAGAGAGAUGGAAUUCCAGGUGUAGUGGUGAAAUACGUAGAUAUCUGGAAGAACACCAGUGGCGAAGGCGAUCUCUUGGUCUGAUACUGACGCUGAGGCGCGAAAGCGUGGGUAGCAAACAGGAUUAGAUACCCCAGUAGUC
rnacentral:rRNA from 1 species